UACGUAGGGUGCGAGCGUUAAUCGGAAUUACUGGGCGUAAAGCGUGCGCAGGCGGUUUUGUAAGACAGGCGUGAAAUCCCCGGGCUCAACCUGGGAAUGGCGCUUGUUACUGCAAGGGUGGAGUGCGGCAGAGGGGGAUGGAAUUCCGCGUGUAGCAGUGAAAUGCGUAGAUAUGCGGAGGAACAACGAUGGCGAAGGCAAUUCCCUGGGCCUGCACUGACGCUCAUGCACGAAAGCGUCGGGAGCAAACAGG
rnacentral:rRNA from 1 species